AGCGCUUCCUGCCUCCGCCCGGGCGGGGCUCGGCCGUCUCACCUGCCCCCACCCACGGCGCCGUCGGAUCCCAGAGCGGCUGGUGCAAGCUUAAAGUGUUGCUGCCAGACCUUUCUUCUCUUCUAAUUUACCAAGUGAAGAAUGUUGAAAUAUCCAACUAUAAUUUGUGGAUUUCUCCUUUCAAUGCUAUCAUUUUUGGUGCUUCAUGUAUUUUUGAAGCUCUAUUAUUAGUCCAGCCGAGCUGCCAUCUCUUCAAGGAAGUUUUCCCUGAAGCCCUCAGGUAGACCCGUUUUUCCAUGGCGGCCACAUCAGCAUGCAGCACAUUUAAUUGGAAGUCUCCACAUAUGAGUUGGUUUUCCUUACUUAAAAUAUGCUUAUCAUCCCUUGGAGGUCUGAUGCAUUUUUCUGUCUCUGCAGACCAGCUCCUCCCCCCUCCAAAUCUCAAUGGAAGAAUGCGACAUUCUGGAUUCAGCUACCCAAAGAGGGGUUUUUUCCCCCUCUUUGUCUCUAUUAUACAUUUUAUAGGAAGGAAUUCUGUCCCAGUUAAUUCAAACUGGGACCAGAGGAACAGGGUCCCGCUGCUCAAAAUGGCUGUCACCCGUGGGUAAGGGGAGCAGUCAGAGAGUCAUUGUGACUGGGGUGGCAGUCCCACUCCAAUCUGCCUUGUGGCUUCCUAGCCUGCAACAUACAUCCUCCCAGACAUACAAAAUGUGCCUCUGCCUGAGUCUUCCUGGCAGGGAGUUUGGUACCCCCCAACAUUGGGAGGGGAGCUUACAACACAGGACUAUCUCUUCCCAUAGAUAAUCUCCUCACAAAGCUCCACUCAGGACCACUUAUAUUCUUGAGCACUUGAAAAUAUUGGCUAUUUCCUUCUGACCCCCAUGGUUUCUUUUAAAAAAUUUGCUGUUGUUUGAAUUAUUUUUCUCUACAGGUAUUGACUGCUGCCUCAUGAAGGCUGGUCCUGUCUCUAUAGUGAAUAUUGUGCACCUCAGGGUAGAAUGGAGAGCAGAAGACUUCAAAUCAGGCAGUCUGGGUUCAGACCCCAAUUCUAGUGCUAAAUAGCUACGUGACUUUAGGCCGAUUGUGUGUGACUUCCCUGAGCCCCAGUCUCUUUGCCUGCAAAAUGAGAAAAAUUAUAACAAUGUCAUCGGUUGUUCUGAGGAUUCUGAGAGGAAUUAGUAGGAGAGAGAACUAAGAAGCUGCGGGCCUCUACAGAGCCAUUCAACUGGCAUUUCGGAAGAUGUUGCCCAUCAGAGUCAGACCUUCUUAGCAUCUUCCGGCUGGGCCCAAACUUCCCAAGACCAUUUGGACAAGGUCAUCUCUAUCCCACCAUGGCCUCCUCCCAGAGGAGGAGAAGAAUCAUGCUGUUACAGCAGAACCGAAGAUUUGGGCAAGGGAGCUAAUGAUUAUGUUCUGCGUCAGGUCAGAGAUGGGCUGGGAAAGCCACUCCAAAGCCAAGACAAGCAGUUUCCUGGAAAAAGAAGGCUGCGCGGAGCCCAGAGUGGCCUGGAUCCUGCCUCAUUUCCUGGACCAGCUCCUUAGGUGGUUACUGGAUUGCCAAUAAAGCAGAGCUUAUUAAAGUCAACGAGCUCAGGCUUCAUCGCCGCCAUGGUAUCCAAGCACCAGUCUGUCUGGGAUUUCAUUUGCCAGAUGGACAAAGGAGAGGUUGUUCCAAUACAUAUCCUGAGUGGUGGGGGUGGGGAGAGAAGGGGAAGAAUGCUCUCUAGAGAAUUCUCUUUGUCCUCUGAAGUAAAUAGAGAUCAUGUCUUCCCCAGCCACACUCAGUGAUCUGAAUCUCUUGGACUGUGGAUUUUUCCUUUACCUGCUGUGAAGCCUUGAAAAGUAUGAAUUAGCUUGAUAAUGAUCCUCUAAAGAUGUUCAAGAGUUAAAGACGUGUUUAAGUUCUUCAGGCAAUCCAAUAUGACUACGGGUUUCCAAAAAUUUGAAGGAAACUGAAAAUCAUAGUUCCCAAACCAGAUAUUUUCCGGUGUCCAGAUGUUCACUGGCAUGCAAACCAAAUGUCUGGAUUAUGAGCUCCUUUUUUCAUUUCUUUUUAUCAGCUUACAUCCAGAUGUUGGAUCCAACUGGUCAGAGGCCUGGGGCAGAGACAGAAAUCAAAUCUAGGGUGUUCAUCUAGAGUCUCCUGCUCCUCCAUUCCUGCUUCCUCCUCACGCUGCCCCCACAUCCUCCCCAACUCACCUUCAUGCUACAUCUCGGCAAAUACAGCUCAUAUCCAGGCACGGUGCAGCCCUUGACAGCUGGGUCCGCAAAGGCAGAUCGGGUAUAUCUUUAAAGAAAAGUUAUCUUAACCAUUGAGAAGCCUUCCUUCCUCAGAGGAGAGCACCUCCCCAGCAGACCUCCGAGGAGACCAAGGGCAGGACAGGAAGGGUGAAAGGAAGUUUCAGGACUGCAGGAAAUAAGAGCUUGGAGGUCAAGGGAGAGAUCAGAUAAAACAUGAAUCUGAUCAGCAUCCUAGUGGUCUAGAGUGGAGACAAUCUGCGGAGUCAACCUCAGUAAGGACACACAUAGAGAAGAACCAAAGCCUCUAAAGACGAAGCUGAGAAGUGUACGGUCGUAGAAGACUCGUGUCUGUUAUUCUUAAAAGCUCAAGGAGAUGUUCUGCCAAUUGAAUGGAAACUGUCCAUAGUGGGGAGCAGAGAGCCUCAUCUUUUCUGGAACUGAACAUCCAUCCUUAAGGCCAGAUUUCUCCCAUCACCAACUUUAACUCCUGCCCUAGCCCUCUCUCUUCCUUUUCAAAACCCUCUCCACCCAGGAAGGGAGAUUCUGGAGCCAAGACUGUACCAGCCACACCUCCCCAGAGUUGUUAAGGAAGGAACUCGAAGCCAGGGGUGGUCUUCUGGCAAGCACCCCCACUACCAGUAGCAGGACAGAUGUGUUUCUAAUGGACUACACUAUCCCCGGAGGUCACAUGAUUCAGGCUGCCAAGGGUACCUGCCCUUGGGAAAUCAACUCCCGAAGAUAAAUUGGGAUUGGGUCCUGAGAAGAUCCAUGGAAGCCCAGAGGACCCUGCCUCUCUCUGUUGCUUCAUGCUGUAGAGGCAGUACUGGGGAGGGCCUGCCCCACAUCCGGCAGGGCAGCUGGAACCAUGUGUUUGAUGACACUCUGCUCCCUCAAUGUGGAGCCUCAUCCUCAUCUCACAGUCUAGCAGGCCUCUGGUGGGUUAGGCUUGUCUCACCCAGUGUGUGAGUUUUUUUGGAAGUGACCUGAUUUUGGAGUUUCCCUCCAAGCCUUUCUCAGGUACAUGCUUUCUCUUUUAUUCUGUCUUCUUUUUUUGAUCUUCUUAAAUCUGAUUUUCUCCUUUUUCCCUCUCUUGUCUCCAUCUUUUUUCCAGUCUCUCGCUUCUCUUUAUUUCUCCCCAUAUUUCACUCUGUUCUCUCACCCCAACCUUUCCCUUCUGUUUCUCUCCCUCCCUCUCUUCCCACCCCCUGCCUGGCCUUCCAUAUAUCAAGCAGAGUUUUAUCACCUUAUGCAGGGGCAGCCCUGCCACCUGCCAUAAAGUUGAUAGGCUAAUGACAUUUUGUGGAUAUUGCCAUGUCACAAGUCCAGGACAGCAUCAAAAAUAGCCCUGAUGUCUAAACCACUUCAGCUAUCUUUUUUAUUUUUAAAAUAAAUACAUUCACAUGCUUUUAAGAAACUAUAAAAAUAUAUAAAGUAAAAAGAUCUUUCUCUCACACUGUCUCCACCUCUCCUGGUCUCACCGUUGUGCUUAGGGGAAACCAUUGUGAUUAGUUUCUCCUGUGUCCUUCCAGAGUGUCUUUAUGCAAAUGAAAAUUAUUGUGAUAAUAUAUUCCUAUUUUCCCCCUUACUACACAAAAGAUAGACUACCAUAAUCCCAUUCUGCACUUUUUUUUCACUUGAUAAUAAAAACAUGAUUU
rnacentral:lncRNA from 1 species